CUCCUGCUUAUAUGGUUUUGCCCGUUCAAGUGGCUCACAAAAGCGAAAGUGUAAUCCGAAUGGAAGGUGGUCUGGCAAAUCUCUCUCGUGCAAAGAUAUUAACGAGUGCUCUAAAGGCCACGAUUGUGACAAGGUAAAAGGAUCGUGCAAAAAUACGAUCGGCAGUUAUCAGUGCUCUUGUAAGCUCGGUUUCUUCGGGGAUGGUCGUACAUGUAGUGGCAACACUAUACUGUUGAGGGACACGUAAUAGAUGCUUCGGAUGGCUUGGCUAUUAGGAGAGCACACGUUUGCUUGGAAGUCGAUUCAAGACAACAAAUACCAACGGUAUCUUCUCCUUCCGUAAUGUUACUUUCAUACUGAACGCAUCAGCAAAUGGAUAUGUUUCUAAUACUAAAGAGAUCACUGUGAAUAGUGAUAUCAAAAAAGACAUCGCAGAUAUCAUACUCGUUAAAAUACUGAAAUCAGGUACCUGGAAGAUUGUGGUCACAUGGGGUGAAGGGCCUCCUGAUCUCGAUGCCUACUUGAAAUUCCCUGACGGCCGUCGAAUCAGUUACUUCGAGAGAGAGUUCCAGUCCGGAACUUCCAGCGUCACCUUGGAUAUCGACGACACUAGUCGAUUUGGGCCUGAAUCGAUUACAAUCAAUGAAGGAAGUCAGCCUGGCGUAUACAGACACUAUGUUAAUGCCUAUACUGCAGAUUUUAGUAGAGGACAAGGGACUGCAGAGCUAUACAAUGGAAAUGCUAAAGUGGCAACUCUGACAUCUCCACUGGGUCCAGAGCAAUACUGGGUAACGUUUCUAAUCGAUACUAGAGUCACAAAGUUCACGAUUAUCAAUAAGCUGACCAACUUUCCCGACAAGGAAGAAAAAUGACUUGUCACUCAAUCUUCGAACUUGAAAGUUGUUUCUUUAGAAGUUGCGAUUGUAUGUGAUGUAUUGAGUAGCUCGGCGCGUGCUACUAGUAUUAGUAGUUGUAGUAAGUCUUUAAUAAUGCCGCGACCAGGUAUCUGUUUUUCUUCUCUCUUCUUUAAA